CCUACGGGGGGCAGCAGUGGGGAAUAUUGCACAAUGGGGGAAACCCUGAUGCAGCGACGCCGCGUGAGUGAAGAAGCGUUUCGGCGCGUAAAGCUCUGUCAGCGGGGAAGAAACACGGUUCGCGAGAGCCGCGGACGGUACCCGACCAAGAAGCCCCGGCUAACUACGUGCCAGCAGCCGCGGUAAUACGUAGGGGGCAAGCGUUAUCCGGAUUCACUGGGUGUAAAGGGAGCGUAGACGGCGAGACAAGUCUGGAGUGAAAGGCCGGGGCCCAACCCCGGGACUGCUCUGGAAACUGCCUGGCU
rnacentral:rRNA from 1 species